UUGAUGCUAUGAGAUGGUCUCAUCAAUGUGCAACAAUUGAACUGGAUUUCCAACUUCCUGAGAGAUUCAACCUCACGCUAGGAUUUUAUGGCUUUCUCCCCAUCAAGUUGUAGUAAUUCCUGUCAGUAGUAAAUAUGAUGAUUAUGCCGAACCGGUAAAUUUAAUUUGAUUCAAAAGAAGUUCCAUGCAGCUGGUUAUCGUGUUGAUACAGACUUGGAUCACGGAUCAACACUAAAUAAGAAAGUUCGCAAUGCACAACUUUCACAGUACAACUUCAUUCUUGUUGUUGGUGAAAAAGAGACGGUCUCAGACACGGUCAACGUCAGAACACGUGACAACAAAGUACUCGGUGAAAAAUCGGUCAUGGCCGUGAUCGAACGCUUGCGAGAUUUAGUCAGCUCACGAAGUCUGACAAGCGAAGAUUUUUGAAGUAAAACAACAUUUUUAUGAAAAAUAGGUACGCGUACAUGCCACUGGUCACUGGCAAACUGGCGGCAUUGGUCACUAAUACUUUAUCAGUGGUGGUAAUAUUGAUUUUAUCGUGGUGGUAAAUUCUUCCAUUGGUAAUUUAUGGCGAUAACCAUCAGCAACUUUUCA